rnacentral:rRNA from 1 species
AGAGUUUGAUCCUGGCUCAGAACGAACGCUGGCGGCGUGGAUAAGACAUGCAAGUCGAACGAGACUUUUCGUUGUAGCAAUACGAUGGAAAGUUUAGUGGCGAACGGGUGCUUAACACGUGGGCAACCUGCCAUGAAGUGGGGGAUAGCUCGCCGAAAGGCGAAUUAAUACCGCAUGUGAUUAGAGAGGACAUCCUUUCAAAAUUAAAGUCGGGGCAACCUGACGCUUCUUGUGGGGCCCGCGGCCUAUCAGCUAGUUGGUGAGGUAACGGCUCACCAAGGCUUUGACGGGUAGCUGGUCUGAGAGGACGACCAGCCACACUGGGACUGAGACACGGCCCAGACACCUACGGGUGGCAGCAGUCGAGAAU